GGGAGAGGCAGCACCGGGAAAGAAGGGCGUCUGUGGUGUGGGGUUCCGGAGUUUGGAGGUGGAAAUAUGAGUCGUUUUCUGUCGCAAAUUAUCUCUGCUUUUCAAAUUGCCUACAAUGAGCGACUGUUGUUUAUAUAGUCACAGAAGUUAUUAAGAAAGAAAAGUCUCGAAGCCAUCAUUUCUCCACAGGCCCUCUCAAGGGUGGACCUUGCCCCAGGCACAGUCUAAUAAGGCCCCACCACCGGAGCCACCGCUUCAGUCUACAAGGAGCCCGUCAGGGAGGGUAGGGGCCAACCCUCUGCAAAGUGCUGCCCCGGGACCAGGUGGUGCCUCCCACGGGCCAAGAAGAGACAGAACACAGAACGCAGCUCCUCCAGGGAUCUCAGUUCCCCGACCAGGGAUUGAACCCAGGCCACAGCAGUGAAAGCACCAAGUCCUAACCACUAGACCACCAGGGAACUCCCAUAAAAUUUACCAUUUUUAAGUGGACAAUUCAGUGGCAUUAAAUACAUUCACAUUGUUGUGCGACCAUCACCACCGACCAUGUCUAGAAUGUUUUCAUCUUCCCAAACUGCAACUGUGUACUCAUUAAAAACUAACUCUCCAUUCCCCCUUCCUUUCCAUUCCCCCUUCCCCUCCAGUGGCAAAAAUGUCACCUGUUUACAAAACAUGUAGGACAGUUUCUACUUCAUGUCUGCAAGUCUUAAUUUACAAUAACAAAUUAUUUUCUGUGUUUUUAUUUGGAAGGCACUUAGGAGUGCAAAAUUCGCUGCCCAAUUUCACUCAGCCACCACACAAAAACCACAAAUGACAGUCCCAACACUGCAAAUUUUGAAGGAUUGAGAUAGUUUGUCUAUAGUAGUUUUGACUUUUCUAGCCUGAAAUUUUUGGGUGAUUCUCUUAGGAAAAAUAAAUCUGUUUGGGGUCUAACUUUGCUAAAUGGGGGUCCAGAAGCAUAGUGAACAAGAACCACUAAUUCAAAGUGUGACAAUUUUAAAGCCUUCUGUUGCUUAUAUGAACAGAAGACUCCAAAAUUUUGCAAGUAACAUAAAGACAAUUUUUUUUUUGAUUUACAAUGUUGUGUUGGUUUCUGGUGUACAGCAAAGUGAUUCAGGUAUAUAUAUGUUAUAUAUUCUCUUUCAUAUUCUUUUCCAUAUGGUUUAUUAUAGGAUAUUGAAUAUAGUUCCCUGUGCUAUACAGUAGGACCUUGCUGUUUAUCCAUUCUAUCUAUAACAGGUUGCAUCUGUGAGUCCUAAACUCCCAAUCCUUCCCUCCCCCACCCCUCUCCCCCCUUGACCACCACAAGUCUGUUCUCUAUGUCUGGGAGUCUGUUUCUGUUUCAUAGAUAAGUUCAUUUGUGUCAUAUUUUAGAUUCCACAUGUAAGUGACAUCAUAUGGUAUUUGUCUUUCUCUUUCCGACUUCACUUAGUAUGAUAAUCUCUAGGUCCAUCCAUGUUGCUGCAAAUGGCAUUAUUUCAUUCUUUUUCAUGGCUGAAUAGUAUUCCAUUGUAAAUAUGUACCACGUCUUAUUUAUCCGUUCAUCUGUUGAUGGACAUUUAGGUUGUUUCCAUGUCUUUGUUAUUGUAAAUAGUGCUGCUAUGAACAUAGGGGUGCAUGUAUGUUUUUGAAUUAUAGUUUUGUCUGGAUAAUAUGCCCAGGAGUGGGAUUACUGGACCAUAUGGUAACUCUAUUUUUAGUUUUUUGAGGAAGCUCCAUACCGUUCUCUAUAGUGGCUGCACCAAUUUACAUUCCCACCAAUUGUGUAGGAGGGUUCCCUUUUCUCCAUACUCUCUCCACCAUUUGUUAUUUGUAGACUUGUUAAUGAUGGUCAUUUUGGCUGAUGUGAGGUGGUACCUCACUGUAGUUUUGAUUUUCAUUUCUCUAAUAAUUAGCGAUGUUGAGCAUCUUUUCACAUGCCUAUUGGCCAUCUGUGUGUCUUCUCUGGAGAAAUGUCUAUUUAGGUUAAACACAGUUGUUUGUUCAAUGGAAUUGAAAAAAUCCUGACCCAAAUGACACUACUUAGCCCAAAUGACCAAAGACUAUUUUAUAACAAAUUGUAAUUUUUGAGAGAUGGUUAACAUCAAUACUAUACAUAUUUUAUGUGUCAGAUUAAGAGUUCAAGAGUAUAUAAAAUAGGGUCAUGCAUCACUACCUCUAAGAAUACCACGUACAAGGUAAACCCCAAGUGCUUAUGACAGUAUUUCAGAUGGAAGCAGUCUUAUACAGAAACAAUCUAGUGUCUCUGCUGUGUGGGUAUAUAUCGAAAUUUGAGGGAUUACUGAGAGAAAAAAAUCUUGGUCCAUUAAAGAUUUAUAGAAAAGGGGAUUUUCUAUGGGAUUCUGUGGGAUUUUCAAUGUUUGCUUUUUUAAAAAAAAUCCAGAAUAAAUUACUUUCUGUACAAAGAAAAAUUGCGGACUUCUGGAUGACCAUAUCUGAUCGCAUGCACUAGAU